GGUUGCGAUCAUACCAGCACUAAUGCAUCGGAUCCCAUCAGAACUCCGCAGUUAAGCGUGCUUGGGCGAGAGUAGUACUAGGAUAGGUGACCCCCUGGGAAGUCCUCGUGUUGCAACCC
rnacentral:rRNA from 1 species